rnacentral:lncRNA from 1 species
GUAUGAAAUCUGAUAAAACAAAAGUGUGGCCUAUUUAGUCAAAUAUAGGUCUACAUUAAUGUUUGCUGAAAAACUUUAUAGAGUCCUUUCAUUGUACUUACUGUUAUUGCCUCCACUGAAACUUCCACAAGCAGUCCCUGAUGCCUCUCGAUGUUCUCUAGAUUACUUGACCUGGCCUUCACCUGCAAAUCUACAAGGGCAAGCGUGCACCGUGGUUCCAAUGUCACAACUAUCAAUCCUGUGCAGUCUUCUCCGAUAUCUCAGUGCUUCUCAAUGGCACUAGAUGCCUCUCUGUCAGUAAAUAAAUCAAGACCCAAGUCUUCAAUGACAAUAAGGAAGGCCCAGGCACCUAAUCUGCAUCUAUACAUCUGAAUUUAGAUACUUCAGUCUGGAAUUUCAUCCUGCUCCUGUUUUACUUCGUUGUUCGUAAGACCACCAUUUCUGGGCUGAAACUACAAUGUUAAAUGCCAGAGGAAUACUAAAAGUUUAGGUUCUGUAAGAAGUGUUUUGUCAUGGUUCUCAGAAAGUCUGAAACCAAGGAAACAGCUGGAUAAGCUGUAUGAACAGAAAAUUCUGAGGAUAUAAUUCCUUUUCUAAAGGAAGUGCACACCUCCAGGUUUUUCUGAAAUUAUUCUAUCUGUAAGGCUGUUACUGAAAAUCCAUCUUCCGCAAUACUUACUCCAUUCUGAAUGAAAUGCCCAGCUAAAGUAACCAAAACAAAUAGUUGGCCUACAACAUCAUUACACUUGAUAUCUGUUUGCCCACAGGGCCAGAUUACAUAUAAUUGUUCUCCUUUGUUGUGGAUACAGUUUGCUUCACAAUUAAAUUGCAGCCAGAGUUGGCUGAAGUAUUUUGGCUGUGGGUAGGAAUGUGAAGAUUUCUAUUUUCAAGAGAUUUUCUCCUAUUGCCAGGAAAACAUGCACCAGUAAGUGGAUGAAGACAAAGGACAAGGAAAACAAAAUCUUGUCUCUGUGUGGCAUGGUAUUUUCUCCAGUGAUCUACCAAAGAAAUAAGCAAAACACUGUUAGCAGAUUUGGACUACUCCUGGAUAUGGGGCAGUUCUCAGUCCAUGAACAAGAAGAGUCCUCAGCAGGGCUGGAAGCAGAGGGCUACAGGGAGAUCUGUGGGCAGAUUAAUCACCCAAGCUCUCAGAUCCUGAGAAGAAAAAAAAGAUUAAAAAAAAAAAAAAAGGAAAAAAGCAAAAAAAACAACAAUCUGGUGAGUGCAAAAAGCAAAAAGCACUUGACAGAAACAAGUGGUUCUAUAAGCUCUGUGUCACCCCAGGGCCGUUGCUGA